CAAGCGAUUUUACCCCCUCCUACACGCAUUGUAUCCUACAGCACGCUUGACGCGGCAACGUUCACCACAUACACACACACACAUCUCCACACUCAGGGUACGACAUCUUCCCUGUUGCUGUUCUGGACUCAGACAAAAUUUGUGUUUCUACACUUAUUGUUCAAAAAAGUAGUAGCUCUUAGGAUCUGAAUUUACAAACAAAUAUCAAAAUAUUAUCUUCUGCUAAUGAUAUUGCACUGAAUUUAAUUGCACUACAUUAAGUUUUUACAUAUCUUUCGUAAAAGUUCGUCAGAGUAUGAAAAUGUCGAUACAAUUUGUCAUCAAUAACUUAAAUUUCAAGAUUUUCGCGCAUAAAAUUAUGACGCGCGCUGUGUGUGCGGCGGCGUAAUUCGCUACUCGUAUAGCCGUCUCGCUUCUUCUUGUGUGUGCUUUACCGUUGCUGACCGCUUCAAGAACAUUGCUGCUCACACACACGUCAGUCUGUGGCAAACAAUUGGAGGGGGAGGAUGUGUCGGUUUGCUCCAGAAAUCGUGUGUGAUUUUGGUGUUCUGGAUUUGGUUCCAUCGCUGUUUGUUUUGAUGAAUUUGAAAAGGUAAGACUCAUAGACCGAUGUAAAAGUGUGAGAGUAAAGUGAUGUUGAUGGUGACUGAUGCUUUUAUUUGUUUCUUUUCCUGCUUUCAUCCACUGAUGGUGUCGAGCAUCGCCGAGGAUGUGAUCGAAUGCGGAAUAUUCGAAACGAGGAGAUUCAUUCCGGAUUUUGUUUGCAAUAAGCGCUGAACUAAUCCUCCAGCUUACAGGACGGCAAAGGUACACGCACAAACGUGCACACAUCAGCCUUCUCGAAGAACGAGAACACGGGAGGGGGAGACCGGCAACGUAUAGAACCUUUACGCUCCCUCGUGCGUUCGUGCGUGCGUGCGCGCGCGCGUCUAUGUGUGUGUAUGUGUGUGCAUGCCUGCGUGCGUGGCUGUGUGUGUUUUUGCCGCUUCGCAUAACGAGAUCCUACGGGAUCACCUUGCGAAAAACACCAAGAGAGGGGGAGGGGUAGGUGUGUGUGUAUGUGUGUGUGUGCUUGCAUGCGUGCGUGGCUGUGUAUGUGUGUGUAUGUGUGCUUGCAUGCGUGCAUGGCUGUGUAUGUGUGUGUAUGUGUGCUUGCAUACGUGCAUGGCUGUGUAUGUGUGUGUAUGUGUGCUUUUGCUGUUUGGCGAUCUCCUACGGAAUCACCUUGCGAAAACACGUGGGGGGGGGAGGAGUGAGGUAUGUGUGUGCUUGCCUGCGUGCUUUGUGUGUGUGUUUUUGCGUUCACGUUCUACGGGAUCACUUUGCGAAAAACACCAAGGGGAGGAGGAGGUGUUAGUGUGUGUGUAUGUGUGUGUGUGUGUGUGUGUGUGUGUAUGUUUUUUUUUUCUUUGCCGAUUCGCACUCUCUCGCGGAUCUAGUUGUGUGCGUUAGUUUUUUUUUAGUUUCUUCGAAAAAUACCUGGGGGAGGAUGUGUGUAUGAAAGAAUGUACUUCAGAAAAGAAAGUGAAAAUAAAAAAAACGAAUAUGAAAUAUGUUAAACGAAGUUUUAAGUGUGUCUGAACUCAUUGCAAUCCGAAAGAAAGCGAGGGGGGCUCUUAAAAUGUAGUACACAUGUAUGCAACAUGUAUCGUGUCGCCGCGACGGUGUAUCUCGCUCAAUCCGUUAAGCCUGAAAAGUGCUUCUAUCGGAUCGUCUAAUCGGGCGCCACCCAACCGACAUUAUCGCGCGACAUUUUAAAAUUUUGUAUGAGAAAAAAUGGGCUCAAAACGUUCUCAAAUCGUGCUCAUUAGCAGCACUAAAGAGCACGUUUCUGCAACCGUGCGACAGCGUGUAUCAUACAUGUAGUUUCUGUAUGCUACAUUAUUGUACAAUUUCUUUAUUCUCUCCUUUCUCCCAAAACAAACUCAGACUCUCUCUCAUUUUCCAUUCCACACAUUCGCUCUUUAUUUUUACCUCUUUACUCGCACAUACACUUUUAAAUACUCACACAAUUCACACUGCCGAAAAUCGGUGCGGGAUACACACGUACCCGUCUUGCCUGCCUUCUCUCCUCGUUCUUCCUUUCCUCCAGCUUUGCCUUCGUCGAAUGGUGUGUACGCGUCCUGCUUGCUUCCCUCUUGCUGCUCCCACGUGCUGCACUAGCGAGCUGGAUGUUCGUCUCUACCUUCCUGCCGCUUCUCCUCUACCAGGCGCUAGCACGUUGGAGGAUCGAAUCGUUCCUGCCUUCUUUCCUCUCCUGUUCUGUUUUCGGCACUCCUAGGGAUAGAAGGAAAUAUUAACUAUUUUGCCAACAGCUGUUCAAUUUAACGUCAAGCACAAU